CAGUAGCCACGGUAAUACGAAGGGUGCAAGCGUUACUCGGAAUUACUAGGCGUAAAGCGUGCGUAGGUGGUGGUUUAAGUCCGUUGUGAAAGCCCUGGGCUCAACCUGGGAAUUGCAGUGGAUACUGGGUCACUAGAGUGUGGUAGAGGAUAGUGGAAUUUCCGGUGUAGCAGUGAAAUGCGUAGAGAUCGGAAGGAACAUCUGUGGCGAAGGCGACUAUCUGGGCCAACACUGACACUGAGGCACGAAAGCGUGGGGAGCAAACAGGAUUAGAUACCCCAGUAGUCCCUGUCUCUUAUAC
rnacentral:rRNA from 1 species